rnacentral:rRNA from 1 species
UGGGGAAUAUUGGACAAUGGGCGCAAGCCUGAUCCAGCAAUGCCGCGUGUGUGAAGAAGGCCUUCGGGUUGUAAAGCACUUUUAUCAGGAGCGAAACGCUGUCGGCUAAUACCCGGCGGAACUGACGGUACCUGAGGAAUAAGCACCGGCUAACUUCGUGCCAGCAGCCGCGGUAAUACGAAGGGUGCAAGCGUUAAUCGGAAUUACUGGGCGUAAAGCGUGCGUAGGCGGUUUCUUAAGUCUGCUGUGAAAUCCCCGGGCUCAACCUGGGAAUGGCAGUGGAUACUGGGAGGCUAGAGUGUGUCAGAGGGUGGUGGAAUUCCCGGUGUAGCGGUGAAAUGCGUAGAGAUCGGGAGGAACAUCAGUGGCGAAGGCGGCCACCUGGGACAACACUGACGCUAAGGCACGAAAGCGUGGGGAGCAAACAGGAUUAGAUACCCUGGUAGUCCACGCCCUAAACGAUGCGAACUGGAUGUUGGUCUCAACUCGGAGAUCAGUGUCGAAGCUAACGCGUUAAGUUCGCCGCCUGGGGAGUACGGUCGCAAGACUGAAACUCAAAGGAAUUGACGGGGUCAUAGCUGUUUCCUG